AGACAAACUACAUGUUUGUUACCAGACUUUAGGGCCAGACUCGCGCUGUUUGUUCCAGACCAGGACUCUGGCUGAGGAGAGCUGAUGGAGGAGCCAAGACUCUGGAGGACGACAUCACUCCACCAACCAGGAUCCUUCACCAGGAAUCUGGAAGACUGAUGGAGAAGCCGUACAUCUGGAAGGCAUAUCCUGAGGACCACCAGCACUACCAUCAAGGAUUCCUCAUAAGUUUGCAUUAUCUGGACAUAGUGGACUAGUCGCACCUGAGCUGAACCUCACCUGAUCCUGUUUGGUCGGGGGUAGACACACCUGAGCUAAACCCGCCCUGAUCCUGACAUCCUGCUGGUCCCGUCUCCUCAGUUCAUCUGAGCCUCGUCCUCCAGAAGACCUGCUGAGCUCAGCAUUCUGAGGCUGAUGGAUCAAUGACCUCCAGUGGGAGUGAUCUUCUUGACCCCACAUACCAGGACUCUGUCUGAGGAGAGCUGCUGGAGGAGCUGAGACGCUGGAGGACGACUCGGAAUCGACCAACAAGGAUUCCUCAAUAUGUUUCUGGAGCGGAGGCGAGCUGUUAGGCGAGCCGUGAAUCUGGAGGAUGACCAUCACUCUACCAACAAGGAUUACUUUAGGGCCAGACUCGCGCUGUUUGUUCCAGACCAGGACUCUGGCUGAGGAGAGCUGAUGGAGGAGCCAAGACUCUGGAGGACGACAUCACUCCACCAACCAGGAUCCUUCAGACAAAUUACGUUUGUAACCAGACCAGGAAUCUGGAAGACUGAUGGAGAAGCCGUACAUCUGGAAGGCAAAUCCUGAGGACCACCAGCACUACCAUCAAGGAUUCCUCAUAAGUUUGCAUUAUCUGGACAUAGUGGACUAGUCGCACCUGAGCUGAACCUCACCUGAUCCUGUUUGGUCGGGGGUAGACACACCUGAGCUAAACCCGCCCUGAUCCUGACAUCCUGCUGGUCCCGUCUCCUCAGUUCAUCUGAGCCUCGUCCUCCAGAAGACCUGCUGAGCUCAGCAGUCUGAGGCUGAUGGAUCAAUGACCUCCAGUGGGAGUGAUCUUCUUGACCCCACAU